UGUGAAACACGGGAUGUCACAAUGACAACGAGGUGCUACCUGCCCCAUCAGCAGACCACGUCCCCUAACAAGAGCCGCCUGUGAGGGCAGAGACACGAGGCCGGACCAGCACCGCUCACGCCGGGCUCCGGCCGCCUCCGCCCCGCCUGCGCUGCCCCGCGGUGCCGCUCCCGAAGGGAAGGGCACUCCGGGCCCACAGGCCGCCCUCCCUGCCCGCCGGCUCGGGAAAGGGUGAUAAGACACUGGAAGGGCUGCCCAGGGAGAUGGUGGGCGCUGUUCCUGGAGGUGUUUAAGGAACGACUGGAUGUGCUGGACGUGGUGGUGUUCGGUCACAGGUUGGACUCGAUGGCCCCAGAGGUCUGUACCAGCCCAGCUGAUUCUGUGAAUCUGUAAAGUGGAGGUGCGAGAGCAGAAGUUUUAAGUAAAAGCGCUCAUUUUAUUCAUGCUUAAAUUUAAGAACUUAAAUAAAUUUUAUUUAUGGAA